rnacentral:lncRNA from 1 species
CCAUGGUUAACCUUGAGCAGGCCACUUAUGAUCAGUCAGCUGAGAACAUUAUCUAUGAUAUUGCUCUCAGUGCCUUUCAUCUCUAUCAGUACUUCUCUGGGACUAUGUUAAUGUUCAUAGAAAAUGUGAGAUUUACAGUAGUUUGAAUAUUUUGACAUUUUAUUUCCUGCCCUUUCUGGUCUAGUGUAGGCGUUCCAUGUCUGAUUGGCUUGUCUCCACCCAGUCGUUCAGUGGCUGAGGCAAGUGGUGGUGGCUCUGCCACCUUCUGUGUUUAGCUUCUGGAGUCACUUUGGCCGUACCAUUUCAGUUUCCCAAAAGGGGGGAAGAGAAAGUAGAGGAGGAAAGCCUUCUCUGUAGGCACCGGGCUAGAAAUGCACACAUCACUUCUGCUCAACUGGGAUAGAACUUGGAUACCUACCUGACCAACCAGAUGCAAGGAAGAGUAGGAAAUAGAGUUGUAGGCCAGCCUUGUUCCAGGCUUGAUGGAACAAAGAGAAUGGACUUAGAGGGCAGUUCGCCUCUUGUACCUUAGGCUUCUCCUAACCAAUUAACUGUCUAGCAGCUUUGUUUCAUAAAGUUUUACAGUCGAUCUUAGACUUUAAAUAAUAGCUAGCACUGUGUAUUAUGAUUAUUUCCCUCUUUAGUUUAUUUGGGCCCAAAUUAUUUAUAAAGAUAAUUAUAAUAACUGACAGAGCAUUUAGCUCACCUUCUUCUGGUUAACAUCAAGGGCUCAAUACUUUGCAUACACAUAAUUUUAUACUUAGAAAUUACAAUGUACAUCUGUCUGACAAACGCUAUUACACAACAUUUGAAUGCUUGCUUCAUUUCCUUCUACUUUUUUUUUUAAUCUCUGG